rnacentral:tRNA from 1 species
GGCGCUAUCGUCUAGAGGCCAAGGACACCAGAUUCUCAUUCUGGGAACCCGGGUUCGACUCCCGGUAGCGUCA